rnacentral:rRNA from 1 species
UACGAAGGGGGCUAGCGUUGCUCGGAAUCACUGGGCGUAAAGCGCACGUAGGCGGAUUGCUAAGUCAGGGGUGAAAUCCUGGAGCUCAACUUCAGAACUGCCUUUGAUACUGGCGAUCUCGAGUCCGGGAGAGGUGAGUGGAACUGCGAGUGUAGAGGUGAAAUUCGUAGAUAUUCGCAAGAACACCAGUGGCGAAGGCGGCUCACUGGCCCGGUACUGACGCUGAGGUGCGAAAGCGUGGGGAGCAAACAGG